rnacentral:rRNA from 1 species
AGCGAACGCUGGCGGCAGGCCUAAUACAUGCAAGUCGAGCGCACCUUCGGGUGAGCGGCGGACGGGUGAGUAACGCGUGGGAAUAUGCCCUUUGGUACGGAACAACCCAGGGAAACUUGGGCUAAUACCGUAUGUGCCCUACGGGGGAAAGAUUUAUCGCCAUUGGAGUAGCCCGCGUUGGAUUAGCUAGUUGGUAGGGUAAAAGCCUACCAAGGCUACGAUCCAUAGCUGGUCUGAGAGGANGAUCAGCCACACUGGGACUGAGACACGGCCCAGACUCCUACGGGAGGCAGCAGUAGGGAAUCUUGCGCAAUGGGCGAAAGCCUGACGCAGCCAUGCCGCGUGAAUGAUGAAGGUCUUAGAUUGUAAAUUCUUUCACCGGGAGAUAAUGACGGUACCGGAGAAGAAGCCCCGGCUAACUACGUGCCAGCAGCCGCAGUAAU